GGCCCAAUGGUCUAGUAGUAUGAUACGCGCUUCGGGAUUUACUUCCUCCCGUGAUCGGGAUGCAUGCGCGGGGUCCCGGGUUCAAUUCCCGGUUGGGCCC